rnacentral:rRNA from 1 species
UACGUAGGUGGCAAGCGUUGUCCGGAUUUAUUGGGUUUAAAGGGUGCGUAGGCGGCCCUAUAAGUCAGUGGUGAAAUACAUCCGCUUAACGGUUGAGGUGCCAUUGAUACUGUAGGGCUUGAGUACAGACGAGGUAGGCGGAAUUGACGGUGUAGCGGUGAAAUGCAUAGAUAUCGUCAAGAACACCGAUAGCGAAGGCAGCUUACUAGACUGUGACUGACGCUGAGGCACGAAAGUGUGGGGAUCAAACAGG